UGGGAUGUAGCUCAAAUGGUAGAGUGCUCCCUUCGCUUGUGAGAGGCACGAGGUUCGAUCCCUUGCAUCUUUA
rnacentral:tRNA from 1 species